GGGCUUGUGGCGCAGAGUCAUUUAAGACGCGAAACUUGGAUAGCGCAGUAGCCUCCUAAGUUACAGGUCGAGGGAUCGAAGCCCUCCAAGCCCG
rfam:Candidatus Nitrosoarchaeum koreensis MY1, whole genome shotgun sequence.